AAAAACUUAAAAAAAAAACUGUAACAUGAUUCAAUGAAUUAUUGUUGAAUUAUAUAAUCCAAACUCUUCAUUUACAUGCACAGCUCUUUACAUCUCCUACUUAAAGCAAAGAAAACACUAUUAAUUUCUCGAGAAAAGAAUGCCCAAAAUCAAAGAUCCAAUCCUAAAAAAAACCAAACAAAGAAAUGAUGAACAAACUGAUCAAAACGAAGCUAGUUCUGGGUAGGAUUCGAAACACUAGUUGGUGCUUCCCUUAAACUUGGCUCCACAGCUUUCUUGGGCUCUUCAAUGGCGCCACCAUUGACGAACUUGCUUUGAGUUUUACCAGUAGGAAAUGAAGAAGAAGAAGACAAUACCAUCUUUCUUGAAAUCUGAUACAUUUCUCCAUGGCAGGUGAGACUCAAUGAAGAAUAUGUGCAAUAUAAUUAAAGCAUGGAAAGCUAUUGAAUUCAUUAGAAUUGCAGAGAAGGAGAAGAGGAAGAAAAGAUUACAGUGAAUUAAAGAGAGAAAAUGAAUGAUUCAAAAGGAUCUGGAAAACUUUGGA
rnacentral:lncRNA from 1 species